GCCCAACUUGUCAGGUCCUCUGCCUCUGCGCCGCCCUUGGCGACCUUGCUUACCCCGUCACCGUGAGUGGCAUCAUCUGGUCUCUGUCUGCUGGCUGUCCCCGCCACCGCACUUCAGAUUGGCAGUGUGUCUGAUGCUGCACACUCCAGAGCAGCAUCCUUAUAUGUGUGCUGGACCCUGUCAUGUGACCCAGCACACAGUGAUGGCCUCAGAGAACACAAGGGAAGGAAGAAACUCCUCCCCCGUGUUGUGAUUAACACUAAUUGGAGUUUAGCCAAUCAGACACACCCUGUGUGUAAAAAGCUAACUCCACCCUUGCCUCAGUGCCCUAUUGUGGUCUUUGGAUUACCAUUGGGCUUUUCUGGUUACCGAUCUCUGGC